AAACCAAAUGAUGAGUUUGGAUUAAAUUUCUCACGACGGUCGUCUGAGACACCUCAAAGUGUCAGAACUGAUGCAAUGAUCCAAUGUUUCUGAUGGUU